rnacentral:rRNA from 1 species
GACGAACGCUGGCGGCGUGCCUAAUACAUGCAAGUCGAGCGCUGAAGCUUGGUACUUGUGCCAAUUGGAUGAGCAGCGAACGGGUGAGUAACGCGUGGGGAAUCUGCCUUUGAGCGGGGGACAACAUUUGGAAACGAAUGCUAAUACCGCAUAAAAACUUUAAACACAAGUUGUAAGUGUGAAAGAUGCCAUUGCAUCACUCAAAGACGAUCCCGCGUUGUAUUAGUUAGUUGGUGAGGUAAAGGCUCACCAAGGCGAUGAUACGUAGCCGACCUGAGAGGGUGGUCGGCCGACUUGGGACUGGGACACGGCCCAAACGCCUUCGGGUAGGCACCAGAGGGGAACUUCGGCAAUGGGGGGAAAGCUGACCGCACAACGCCGCGGUGGGGGAGAAGGUUUUCGGGUCGGAAAACUCUGUUUGUAGGGAAGAACGUUGGUGAGAGUGGAACGCUCAUCAAGUGACGGUAACUACCCAGAAAGGAACGGCUAACUACGUG